GGCGAACGGGUGAGUAACGCUUCGGAAUCUGCCCAAUGGUGGGGAAUAACCAGCCGAAAGGUUGGCUAAUACCGCAUGAGCCCUACGGGGGAAAGCGGGGGAUCGCAAGACCUCGCGCCGAUGGAUGAGCCGAAGCCGGAUUAGCUAGUUGGUAGGGUAACGGCCUACCAAGGCGACGAUCCGUAGCUGGUCUGAGAGGACGACCAGCCACACUGGGACUGAGACACGGCCCAGACUCCUACGGGAGGCAGCAGUGGGGAAUAUUGGACAAUGGGGGAAACCCUGAUCCAGCGACGCCGCGUGUGUGAAGAAGGCCUGCGGGUUGUAAAGCACUUUUAGUGGGGAUGAAAAGCUCAGGGCUAACACCUCUGGGUCUUGACCUAACCCACAGAAAAAGCACCGGCUAACUCUGUGCCAGCCGCCGCGG
rnacentral:rRNA from 1 species